rnacentral:rRNA from 1 species
UACGUAGGAGGCAAGCGUUGUCCGGAUUUAUUGGGCGUAAAGCGAGCGCAGGCGGUUCCUUAAGUCUGAUGUGAAAGCCCACGGCUCAACCGUGGAAGGUCAUUGGAAACUGGGGAACUUGAGUGCAGAAGAGGAGAGUGGAAUUCCAUGUGUAGCGGUGAAAUGCGUAGAUAUAUGGAGGAACACCAGUGGCGAAGGCGACUCUCUGGUCUGUAACUGACGCUGAGGCUCGAAAGCGUGGGGAGCAAACAGGAUUAGA